AUGCAUAAAUCUUUUGUUUAUAAUUAUAACCAUUCAGCCCUCGCAUUUCAUUGUUAUCAAACGCGAAUCAGAGUUGAAGCAGAAAUGGGUUCCAAAAUUUUGCUAUUGCUUGCUCUUUCCAUUGCUUUUACUUUUCUCAUCAGUUCACAAGUUGCAGCUCGAGAUUUAGCUGAAACUACUCUAAAGACUGAGACAGCCAGUUUAGACGGCAGCAGUUACUAUGCUGGAGGAGUUGGUGGAAGCCGGAGUCACCCUGCAGCAAGUGCCUACAGUAGAGGAGGCGGCAGCCACCACAAUGGAGACGGAGAAACCUAUAAAGCCAUCCCCAUAGGAGGUGGCUGCUACAACCGCUAUGAGUGCAACUGAAGCUCAAGCACUUGAGGCCACUAAAGUUAAGCCUCGUAACUUGACUCCAUGUAUGAUUACUACUCCCUCCCACCCGCCCAUCCAUCUUUUUACGUUUUAGGAAACGUGUGUAAGGUAAGGAAAAUAAAUAAAGUGGUGAAAUUAAUCAAUAUAUUGUAAAGUAUAAAAGAUUCGGGAAGUUGGAGGAAAGCACUAUUUUUACUGA